rnacentral:rRNA from 1 species
AGAACGAACGUUAGCGGCGCGCCUAACACAUGCAAGUCGCACGAGAAAGGGCUUCGGCCCCGGUAAAGUGGCGCACGGGUGAGUAACACGUGACUAACCUACCCUUGAGUGGGGGAUAACCUAGGGAAACCUGGGCUAAUACCGCAUAAUACCUUCGGGUCAAAGGAGCAAUUCGCUUAAGGAGGGGGUCGCGGCCGAUUAGUUAGUUGGCGGGGUAAUGGCCCACCAAGACUGUGAUCGGUAUCCGGCCUGAGAGGGCGCACGGACACACUGGAACUGAAACACGGUCCAGACUCCUACGGGAGGCAGCAGUGGGGAAUUUUGCGCAAUGGGGGAAACCCUGACGCAGCAACGCCGCGUGGAGGAUGAAGUCCCUUGGGACGUAAACUCCUUUCGAUCGGGACGAUUAUGACGGUACCGGAAGAAGAAGCCCCGGCUAACUUCGCGCCAGCAGCCGC